rnacentral:rRNA from 1 species
AGUGGCGAACGGGUGAGUAACACGUGAGUAACCUGCCCUUAACUCUGGGAUAAGCCUGGGAAACUGGGUCUAAUACCGGAUAUGACUCCUCAUCGCAUGGUGGGGGGUGGAAAGCUUUUUGUGGUUUUGGAUGGACUCGCGGCCUAUCAGCUUGUUGGUGAGGUAAUGGCUUACCAAGGCGACGACGGGUAGCCGGCCUGAGAGGGUGACCGGCCACACUGGGACUGAGACACGGCCCAGACUCCUACGGGAGGCAGCAGUGGGGAAUAUUGCACAAUGGGCGCAAGCCUGAUGCAGCGACGCCGCGUGAGGGAUGACGGCCUUCGGGUUGUAAACCUCUUUCAGUAGGGAAGAAGCGAAAGUGACGGUACCUGCAGAAGAAGCGCCGGCUAACUACGUGCCAGCAGCCGCGGUAAUACGUAGGGCGCAAGCGUUAUCCGGAAUUAUUGGGCGUAAAGAGCUCGUAGGCGGUUUGUCGCGUCUGCCGUGAAAGUCCGGGGCUCAACUCCGGAUCUGCGGUGGGUACGGGCAGACUAGAGUGAUGUAGGGGAGACUGGAAUUCCUGGUGUAGCGGUGAAAUGCGCAGAUAUCAGGAGGAACACCGAUGGCGAAGGCAGGUCUCUGGGCAUUAACUGACGCUGAGGAGCGAAAGCAUGGGGAGCGAACAGGAUUAGAUACCCUGGUAGUCCAUGCCGUAAACGUUGGGCACUAGGUGUGGGGGACAUUCCACGUUUUCCGCGCCGUAGCUAACGCAUUAAGUGCCCCGCCUGGGGGAGUACGGCCGCAAGGCU